AGUUCGAUCAUGGCUCAGAUUGAACGCUGGUGAUGGCUUUACAAGUCGAACGGGCAGCACGGACUUCGGUCUGGUGGCGAGUGGCGAACGGGUGAGUAAUGUAUCGGAACGCCUAGUAGCGGGGAUAACUACGCGAAAGCGUAGCUAAUACCGCAUGCCUUCGGGGGAAAGCGGGGACCUCGGGCCUCGCACUAUUAGAGCGGCUGAUAUCGAUUAGCUAGUUGGUGGGGUAACGGCCUGCUCACAUGAUCCGUAGCUGGUUUGAGAGGACGACCAGCCACACUGGGACUGAGACACGGCCCAGACUCCUACGGGAGGCAGCAGUGGGGAAUUUUGGAUACUUCCGGGAACUCUGAUCCAGCCAUCCUGCGUGUGCGAUGAAGGCCUUGGUUGUAAAGCACUUUUGGUGAAGAAACGGCACGUGAUAAUACCCCGUGCAACUGACGGUACCUGCAGAAUAAGCACCGGCUAACUACGUGCCAGCAGCCGCGGUAAUACGUAGGGUGCAAGCGUUAACUGAACGAUUGCCAGCGUGCGCAGGCGGUUCGGAAAGAAAGAUGAAAUCCCAGAGCUUAACUUUGGAACUGUAUUUAACUACCGAGCCAGAGUGGUGAAGUCAGAGGGAGGUGGAAUUCCGUGUGUAGCAGUGAAAUGCGGUGAUAUGCGAGGAACACCGACGGCGAAGGCAGCCUCGAUAACACUGACGCUCAUGCACGAAAGCGUGGGGAGCAAACAGGAUUACGACCCUGCAGUCCUCACGCCCCAAACGAUGUCAACUAGCUGUUGGGGCCUUCGGGCCUGGUAUGGCAGCUAACGCGUGAAGUUGACCGCCUGGGGAGUACGGUCGCAAGAUUAAAACUCAAAGGAAUUGACGGGGACCCCGCACAAGCGGAUGAUGUGGAUUGAAUUGAUGCAACGAAAACCUUACCUACUCCUUGACAUGUCUGGAAUCCCAAAGAGAUUUGGGAGUGCUCGUAAGAGAACCGGAACACAGGUGCUGCAUGGCUGUCGUCAGCUCGUGUCGUGAGAUGGGUUAAGUCCCGCAAUGAGUGGAACCUUGUCAUUAGUUGCUACGAAAGGGCACUCUAAUGAGACUGCCGGUGACAAACCGGAGGAAGGUGGGGAUGACGUCAAGUCCUCAUGGCCCUUAUGGGUAGGGCUUCUACACGUCAUACAAUGGUCGGGACAGAGGGUCGCCAACCCGCGAGGGGGAGCCAAUCCUGCAGAAAACCCGAUCGUGGUCCGGAUCGCAGUCUGCAACUCGACUGCGUGAAGUCGGAAUCGCUAUAGUAAUCGCGGAUCAGCAUGUCGUAGAAUAUGCCUCCGGGUCUUGUACACACCGCCCGUCGCACCAUGGAGUGGGUUUUACCAGAAGUAGUUAGCUCAACCGUAAGGAGGGCGAUUACCACGGUAGGAUUCAUGAUCAGUGAAUGUAACAUGUAA
rnacentral:rRNA from 1 species